UACGAAGGGGGCUAGCGUUGCUCGGAAUCACUGGGCGUAAAGCGCACGUAGGCGGAUUGUUAAGUCAGGGGUGAAAUCCUGGAGCUCAACUCCAGAACUGCCUUUGAUACUGGCGAUCUAGAGAUCGAGAGAGGUGAGUGGAAUUCCGAGUGUAGAGGUGAAAUUCGUAGAUAUUCGGAAGAACACCAGUGGCGAAGGCGGCUCACUGGCUCGAUACUGACGCUGAGGUGCGAAAGCGUGGGGAGCAAACAGG
rnacentral:rRNA from 1 species